rnacentral:rRNA from 1 species
CAGCGAAAUGCGAUACCUAGUGUGAAUUGCAGAAUUCCGCGAAUCAUCGAGUCUUUGAACGCAAGUUGCGCCCGAGGCUUGUCCCGAGGGCAUGCCUGCCUGAGCGUCACCGCACUCCCACCCGACGAACCCUCGUCGUGCGUGGAAAUGGCCGUCCGGGGUCGGGCGUCGAUGCCCAGCGCCGCGGUCGGCUGAAAUGGAGCGUUCUGGACGUAGCCGGAGAGGGGGAUUGCGAGAAGGUGAUCCGUCCUCUGGGCGGAGUCUAUUUUGACAGCGUCCCUCGAUCCGGGAGGUCUCACGGAACUCGGAGCGGGAGCUCGCCCGGUCGAUCGCUCGCGGUCGGUCGGGCGAGUCACACCACUGCUUGGACCUCAGAUCAGGCAAGAUUACCCGCUGAGUUUAAGCAUAUCACU